GCUAGUGGUAAAAAUGGAGAAGUACUUUAGUUCCUUUAUUUUUUUUAAGUGUCUUUUAUUUGCAUUAUUACCAUGAUGAAGGGUUUUUAAUGUUUAGCUUACUUAUUGUAUUUUUAUAGUUUUAAUUAUGUUUGGGAUUUUUGUCUUUUGCAGUGUUAGGUUUAGCAUCUUCUUUUAUUUUAAUGUUUUCGAUCAUUUUUGGUUGCAUUUAAUUUUCAGUUUUAAUUUAAUUCUCCUUGCAAAAAAAAAACACUCUCA
rnacentral:lncRNA from 1 species